UACGUAGGUGGCAAGCGUUAUCCGGAUUUAUUGGGCGUAAAGGGAACGCAGGCGGUCUUUUAAGUCUGAUGUGAAAGCCUUCGGCUUAACCGGAGUAGUGCAUUGGAAACUGGGAGACUUGAGCGCAGAAGAGGAGAGUGGAACUCCAUGUGUAGCGGUGAAAUGCGUAGAUAUAUGGAAGAACACCAGUGGCGAAAGCGGCUCUCUGGUCUGUAACUGACGCUGAGGGUCGAAAGCGUGGGUAGCAAACAGG
rnacentral:rRNA from 1 species